rnacentral:rRNA from 1 species
AAAUAGAAGUGAAAAUGUCAGCUUAAGUAGCAUAAAUAUUAGUAAAAAUCUAAUACUCCGAAAGCUUAAAAGUUUUCUACGAAAGGAUAUACCACGUAGAUAAAGUCGGGGCCUAAAAUUAGAUUAAAUAUGUAAUUGAUGGGUAAUAAGGUUAAAUUUCCUUUACUGUAAAUAUAUAUAACAAAUAGUGACCUAUAAUUUUUAUUAUAUUUUUAUAAUAUAGUUUUUAAUAUAUUAAAAAUAUAUAGCUAGAAAAAUGUAUAUGUUAAAAUAUAUUAUCACCCGUACUAAAACUGACACAAGUAAGCAAGUAUAAAUAUACUAAGGAGUACGAAAUAACUUUUUCUAAGGAACUCGGCAAAAUAAUCCUGUAACUUCGGAAAAAAGGAUGUCCAAAGGACUGCAAUAAAGAGAUCCAAGCGACUGUUUAUCAAA